UGUUUUUUAUAUCCAAAUAUAUAGGAUAUAACGACGCCUUAACUUGUAAACUAUGUAUUUGGUGAGUUUAGUAAAUUUGUUGAUGGACUCAUGAAAACAUUUCAUGGGGUGAUUGGAAAAUGGUACCUGUCAGAUUUAUUAAAGUAUU